AGUGGUAUGAGAUUACGUUGGCAGUACCGCCCAGAAGUCGGGUAUGAGAACUAUUCGUGUCACUGCCUUGUAACCCUGGUGUCCAUACUAUGCAACUAACCUAUGAAUAAUAAAUCUCUCUCUGGAGUGUUCCCUUUGGUCAUUGAGUCUGAGUCUUUGUUCCUGUGAUCCCAAAUAUUCGAGAACAACUAUUCUGUUCAAGAAUAGAACAUGGCGCAGUCGUAAUCGAAUCUUAACAAGUGCUCUGUCAUUCUCAAGGAUUGAUGACAUUUGAGUCACGACAAACAACAAGAUUUGGUCGGAAGAUCCUAAAACCACAUCGUUAUGAUGGGAGCUGUUAAUAAAUAUUAUUCAUGUAAUCAAAUAUAUUACUCUGUAUUUUUAUAUCAAAUAUAAUCAACUUUUGUAUUCUGCUAUGUGUUUGUUUACUUUCAACGUAGAAAGUGUUGCCAACUGAAUACUUUAGUGUCUCGAAGGGGGAGGUGUUGUAGUGGUAUGAGAUUACGUUGGCAGUACCGCCCAGAAGUCGGGUAUGAGAACUAUUCGUGUCACUGCCUUGUAACCCUGGUGUCCAUACUAUGCAACUAACCUAUGAAUAAUAAAUCUCUCUCUGGAGUGUUCCCUUUGGUCA
rnacentral:misc_RNA from 1 species